CCCCAGACUCCUACGGGAGGCAGCAGUGGGGAAUAUUGCACAAUGGGGGAAACCCUGAUGCAGCGACGCCGCGUGAAGGAAGAAGUAUUUCGGUAUGUAAACUUCUAUCAGCAGGGAAGAAAAUGACGGUACCUGACUAAGAAGCCCCGGCUAACUACGUGCCAGCAGCCGCGGUAAUACGUAGGGGGCAAGCGUUAUCCGGAUUUACUGGGUGUAAAGGGAGCGUAGACGGCAGCGCAAGUCUGAAGUGAAAUCCCGUGGCUUAACCAUGGAACUGCUUUGGAAACUGAGCAGCUAGAGUGCAGGAGAGGUAAGCGGAAUUCCUAGUGUAGCGGUGAAAUGCGUAGAUAUUAGGAGGAACACCAGUGGCGAAGGCGACUUACUGGACUGUAACUGACGUUGAGGCUCGAAAGCGUGGGGAGCAAACAGGAUUAGAUACCCGCGUA
rnacentral:rRNA from 1 species